rnacentral:rRNA from 1 species
AAUUUUGGACAAUGGGGGCAACCCUGAUCCAGCCAUGCCGCGUGUGUGAAGAAGGUCUUCGGAUUGUAAAGCACUUUAAGUUGGGAGGAAGGGCAGUAAGUUAAUACCUUGCUGUUUUGACGUUACCGACAGAAUAAGCACCGGCUAACUUCGUGCAAGCAGCCGCGGUAAUACGAAGGGUGCAAGCCUUAAUCGGAAUUACGGGGCGUAAAGCGCCGGUGGGGGGUUUUUUAAGUUGGAAGUGAAAGGCCCGGGCUCAACCUGGGAACUGCUUUUAAAACUGGCAAGCUAGAGUAUGGCAGAGGGUGGUUGAAUUUCCUGUGUAGCGGUGAAAAGCGUAGAUAUAGGAAGGAACACCAGUGGCGAAGGCGACCACCUGGGCUAAUACUGACACUGAGGUGCGAAAGCGUGGGGAGCAAAC